GACGAACGCAGGCGGCGUGCUUAACACAUGCAAGUCGAACGAUGAAGCCGGAGCUUGCUCUGGUGAAUUAGUGGCGAACGGGUGAGUAACACGUGAGUAACCUGCCCUUGACUCUGGGAUAACUGCGGGAAACUGUAGCUAAUACCGGAUACGACCCUCGGAGGCAUCUCCUGGGGGUGGAAAGAAUUUCGGUCAAGGAUGGACUCGCGGCCUAUCAGCUAGUUGGUGAGGUAAAGGCUCACCAAGGCGACGACGGGUAGCCGGCCUGAGAGGGUGACCGGCCACACUGGGACUGAGACACGGCCCAGACUCCUACGGGAGGCAGCAGGGGGGAAUAUUGCACAAUGGGCGCAAGCCUGAUGCAGCAACGCCGCGUGAGGGAUGACGGCCUUCGGGUUGUAAACCUCUUUUAGCAUGGAAGAAGCGAAAGUGACGGUACCUGCAGAAAAAGCACCGGCUAACUACGUGCCAGCCGCCGCCGUAA
rnacentral:rRNA from 1 species